rnacentral:rRNA from 1 species
UACGUAGGGGGCAAGCGUUGUCCGGAUUUACUGGGCGUAAAGAGCGUGUAGGCGGCCAUACAGGUCCGUUGUGAAAACUGGAGGCUCAACUUCCAGACGUCGACGGAAACCGUGUGGCUAGAGUCCGGAAGAGGAGAGUGGAAUUCCUGGUGUAGCGGUGAAAUGCGCAGAUAUCAGGAAGAACACCAAUGGCGAAGGCAGCUUGCUGGCAUGUUUCUGACGCUAAGGCACGAAAGCGUGGGAGCGAACAGG